CAUAAUGACAGGGGGAGUAUCAUUGCUUUACACAUUGUUUCAUCACACAUCUAUAUUUCAGCGGGAGUGUACAUUGUAUUCAACACUCAAUUUCGUCCGGUUGAAUAAAUAAUAGAACUUAUUUUUAUUUUUGUCUUAUUUUAUUUUUAUUUUGUUAUUUUUAAUUUUUAUUUUACUAUUUGGUAUUUGAUUUAUUUUUUUAUUUUUUUAUUUGAUUUGAUUCUUUUUUGGAAAAAAGAAAAGAAAGAAAAGAACAAAAAAGAAGAACAAAAAAACGAAAAGGAAAAAGAAAGAAAAAAAAAGAAAAAGAAUAAAAGAGAAAAAAGGGAAAAGAAAAAUAAAACAAAGAAGAAAAAAGGAAAAAGAAAAACAAAAGGAAAAAAGGAAGGAAGGAAAAAAGAAAAAAAAAAGGUGUGCAUGGGAAUAAAAUGAAAAGAAAAGAAUGGUGAUAAAAUGGGAGAGGUGCUCCACGUGAUUAUCUUGGAAAAAUGGUGCAGCAGACCCAUAAGCAAUUAAUAUUAAUGCAUGAUAGAUCACUUUAGAAUAUUUUCGAAGUUUUGUUUUAUUUGGUAAUAAUUCGAAUCAACAUUAUGACAAUCAUUACAAGCAAUAAUUAAAAAUAAUAUAUUGAUUGUUGUAUUCAGUUUCUUCCUAAAGAGAAAAAUAUGAUUUUAAUUUGAUUUAUUUUUCUUCAAUCAAGACCAUUUAUUUCCCUAUUUUGCUAAUUGACAAUUAAUUCGCNAUUAAGGCAAGAUCACAAUAAUAUUACAAAUGUGUGUAUAUAAAUAUGCACCUUGUAAACAAGAAAAGGGGAGGAGAAAAAACAAAUUAAAUUUCAGGAAGAGAACAUAAGGGAACAGAAAAAAAAGGAGGCAGCUGCUACACUCAUUUUGGCUUUUGAAUGCGGUACAGAGGUGGAAGCACCGACCACUUGCAGCUUGCCGGUUUAAAAGGAGGAGAAAAAUCCAAUUUCAGAAAGAGAACAUAAGGAAACAAAAAAAAGGAGUGGGGCAAAGAGGCACGUGCACAGAUGAAUGAAAACAAUUCUGUGGAAGCUUUUUGUGGUGCAGUGAAGGACCUUUAAGGCAGCUUCAGAAGGGUGGAGAUCAAUUUCCUGAUUAUAUAUCCUUUCCCAUUCUUAUUGGACUUUUUGUUUUCAUUUUAUUUUCUUUGCUUUUAUUUCUUAGGUUUUGGUAUAUUCUUUUAUUAUUGAUGGUUUGCUGUACUCGUUUUUUAAUAAAAAUACGAAAUAUAAGAAUCAUAGAAAGUAAAUAAACAA
rnacentral:lncRNA from 1 species